GAGGCUCCAGACAGCCUGAAGGUAGAAAGUGCUCAGAAGAGCAAGGCAAGCCUCCCCCAGGAGGGUAGGAGGUGGUAGGCACUUACACUUAGUGCCAGCCAACUCCUUAACGUCCCAGCCAACUUCCUGGGAUGGCCAGUCCCAGGAAACCACAUGUUUUUAUGCUCAAGCUCUUAAAACAUUGUCGUAAGUAAAUCGAAUUUUUGUCCUGCCCUCUCUGCUUACCAGACCAAGAGCAACGAUUAUGAAUGGCAAGUGGCAAGAAACGGGGUGGAGAAAAACGUCACCAGUGAAGAUGGAAAUGUGUCUGAGAGGAUGAGGCCCAGAUCCCCUAGGAACCGGCCUGUCUGACCAGCCCAGUAGCAUCUCUCUCAAUUGGAUGGUGAUCCCCCAAAGACAUGUCUACACCUAACAACCGGACCCUCUGAAUGUGUCCUCAUUUGGAAAAAGGGUCUUUGCAGGUGCCAUUAAGUUAAAGAUCUUGUGACGAGGAGACCAUCCUGCAUUACCCAGGUGAGCCCUAAAUCCAAUAACAAGUGUCCUUUAAGAGGCAGAGAGAGACCUGGCACAGUGGCUGUCACCUGAAAUCCUAGCACUUUGGGAGGCCAAGGUGGGAGGAUCACUUGAGGUCACGAGUUCGAAACCAGACUGGCCAACAUGGUGAAACCCUGUCUCUACUAAAAAUACAAAAAUUAGCCGGGUAUGAUGGUGGGUGCCUGUAAUCCCAGCUACUCGGGAGGCUGAGGCAGGAGAAUUUCUUGAACCCAGGAGUUAGAGGCUGCAGUGAGCCGAGAUCGUGUCACUGCACUCCAGCCUGGGUGAUAGAGUGAGACUCCGUAGCAAAAAAAAAAAAGGCAGAAGAGAAGACACAGAGAGUAGGAGACCACGUGAAGAUAGAAGCAGAGACUGGAGUGGUGCAGCCACCAGGAACGCCUGGAGCCACCGGACACUGGGACUUCAGGGGCAAGGGAGGAUUCCCGCAUGGAGCCUCCGGCGGGAGCAUGGCCCUGCCAACUCCUUGAUUUUGGGCUUCUUGCCUCCAGAACAGUGAGAGAAUAAAGGACUCUUGUUAGAAGCCA